rnacentral:rRNA from 1 species
GAUGAACGCUGGCGGCGUGCCUAAUACAUGCAAGUCGAGCGAACGGACGAGAAGCUUGCUUUUCUGAUGUUAGCGGCGGACGGGUGAGUAACACGUGGAUAACCUACCUAUAAGACUGGGAUAACUUCGGGAAACCGGAGCUAAUACCGGAUAAUAUUUUGAACCGCAUGGUUCAAAAGUGAAAGACGGUCUUGCUGUCACUUAUAGAUGGAUCCGCGCUGCAUUAGCUAGUUGGUAAGGUAACGGCUUACCAAGGCAACGAUGCAUAGCCGACCUGAGAGGGUGAUCGGCCACACUGGAACUGAGACACGGUCCAGACUCCUACGGGAGGCAGCAGUAGGGAAUCUUCCGCAAAGGGCGAAAGCCUGACGGAGCAACGCCGCGUGAGUGAUGAGGGUCUUCGGAUCGUAAAACUCUGUUAUUAGGGAAGAACAUAUGUGUAAGUAACUGUGCACAUCUUGACGGUACCUAAUCAGAAAGCCACGGCUAACUACGUG